CCUACGGGUGGCAGCAGUGGGGAAUAUUGCACAAUGGGGGAAACCCUGAUGCAGCGACGCCGCGUGAGCGAUGAAGUAUUUCGGUAUGUAAAGCUCUAUCAGCAGGGAAGAAAAUGACUGUACCUGACUAAUAAGCCCCUGCUAACUACGUGCCAGCAGCCGCGGUAAUACGUAGGGGGCAAGCGUUAGCCGGAUUUACUGGGUGUAAAGGGAGCGUAGACGGCUGUGCAAGCCAGAUGUGAAAGCCCGGGGCUCAACCCCGGGAUUGCAUUUGGAACUGUGUGGCUGGAGUGUCGUAGAGGGAGGCGGAAUUCCUCGUGUAGCGGUGAAAUGCGUAGAUAUUAGGAGGAACACCAGUGGCGAAGGCGGCCUGCUGGACGAUGACUGACGUUGAGGCUCGAAAGCGUGGGGAGCAAACAGGAUUAGAUACCCCAGUAGUC
rnacentral:rRNA from 1 species